UUCUUAGGUGACUGAGUAAAAGUGCUAGACUUUUAAUCUAGAGACAGCAUAUAUAAGAAUGCUCCUAGGAA
rnacentral:tRNA from 1 species